AUUGAACGCUGGCGGCAUGCUUUACACAUGCAAGUCGAACGGUAACAGGCCUUCGGGUGCUGACGAGUGGCGAACGGGUGAGUAAUGCAUCGGAACGUACCCAGAGGUGGGGGAUAACGCAGCGAAAACUGUGCUAAUACCGCAUGUGAUCUGAGGAUGAAAGCGGGGGACCGAGCAGCAAUGUUUGGCCUCGCGCCUUUGGAGCGGCCGAUGUCGGAUUAGCUAGUUGGUGGGGUAAAGGCCUACCAAGGCGACGAUCCGUAGCUGGUCUGAGAGGACGACCAGCCACACUGGGACUGAGACACGGCCCAGACUCCUACGGGAGGCAGCAGUGGGGAAUUUUGGACAAUGGGCGCAAGCCUGAUCCAGCAAUGCCGCGUGCGGGAAGAAGGCCUUCGGGUUGUAAACCGCUUUUGGCAGGAACGAAACGGUGUCCGCUAAUACCGGGCGCUAAUGACGGUACCUGCAGAAUAAGCACCGGCUAACUACGUG
rnacentral:rRNA from 1 species